rnacentral:rRNA from 1 species
GUGAGGAAUAUUGGUCAAUGGGGGGAACCCUGAACCAGCCAAGUAGCGUGAGGGACGACGGCCCUACGGGUUGUAAACCUCUUUUGUGCGGGGGUAACGAGCGCCACGUGUGGCGCGUUGAAAGUACCGCACGAAUAAGCAUCGGCUAACUCCGUGCCAGCAGCCGCGGUAAUACGGAGGAUGCGAGCGUUAUCCGGAUUUAUUGGGUUUAAAGGGAGCGUAGGCGGGAGCUUAAGUCAGCGGUUAAAUGGUGCGGCUCAACCGUGCCCUGCCGUUGAAACUGGGUUUCUUGAGAGUGCAAGAGGCGGAUGGAAUUCAUGGUGUAGCGGUGAAAUGCUUAGAUAUCAUGAAGAACUCCGAUUGCGAAGGCAGUCCGCUGGGGCACGUCUGACGCUGAUGCUCGAAGGUGCGGGAAUCAAACAGG